rnacentral:rRNA from 1 species
UAAUACGGAGGGUGCGAGCGUUGUCCGGAAUCAUUGGGCGUAAAGGGCGCGUAGGUGGCCCGGUCAGUUCGUGGUGAAAGCGCGGGGCUCAACCCCGCGUCGGCCAUGAAUACUGCGGGGCUGGAGCACUGUAGAGGCAGGCGGAAUUCCGGGUGUAGCGGUGGAAUGCGUAGAGAUCC